AGGUGGCCUAGUGGUUAGAGCGUCCGCCUCGGAUGCUGGAGGCUGUAGGUUCGAUUCCCGGUCGAAAUA